CAGCCUAGGGCGAGGAUGCCGUCCACAAGGGGGCGCGUGUGUCCCGCGCUGGGAUCCAAGGCUGAGUAGGAGGGAGUUCUGUUCACAGAUCUGGUGUUUCGCCUGCCUGUAUGUCUGUGUGAAAGUGUCAUAAGCCUUGGAACUGGAGUUACAGACAGUUGACUACAGGUUGUUCAUGGCUAAAAGGAAGGAGGAGGAAGAUAGAAGGAGAAAAGGAGGAAGAGGAAGAGGAGGAGGAGGCAGAGGAAGAAGAGGAACCCAAACAAAACUUUGUACACAUGGAAAUGCAGGCUAGAGCCAUACCACAGACUCCAGUGUGGACAAACCUCCGGAAGCAAUUGUAAUGCUGACUCUUUGCUCAAACUGGAAGAUCCUGUCCCCGUGGUUCAAAGGCAUGAGCUGUCUUUGCUGUUGUGUGACUGGUGAUGUCAUCAAUGGUAAUCUGAACGAUUCCCUUUUGAAGACUGGAGAGAUCAUUUCCGUUCUCUGCACUUUUUGCUGUUAUGGGCUUUGCUGUUGGUCAAAGGGUCUCACAUAGACCAGGUUGGCCUCCAACUAGACUUUUAACCGAGGCUGAUCUUGAACUCCUUCCUGAUCCUCCUAACUCUGCCUCCAGAGUUCUGGCUCUGUGUAGAUCCUUUCAAACAUCCUCACGGGUCAACCCAGAGGCAGGAUUUGUGUACUGGAUUUCAGUGUUUCAAAGUCCACAUGUAGUCACUGACACAUGCUAGGCUGUGUAGGCUGCCAGUGGCAAGGAUGGCUGAACUUACUGAGUGACUGCUGUAUGUCACAACAUCCUGGCUCCCUCACUGUGGACACCUUGAAUUUUGAGGUAGUAUUUUUUUUUUUUUUUCGAGACAAGGUUUCUCUGUAUAGCCCUGGCUGUCCUGGAACUCACUUUGUAGAUCAGGCUGGCCUCGAACUCAGAAAUCCGCCUGCCUCUGCCUCCCAAGUGCUGGGAUUAAGUAUUUUUUUUUAAAGAUUUAUUUUAUUUAUAUGAGUAUACUGUAACUGCCUUCAGACACACCAGAAGAGGGCAUCAGAUCCCAUUACCCCAUUACAGAUGGUUGUGAGCCACCAUGUGGUUGCUGGAAAUUGAACUCAGGACAUCUGGAAGAGCAGUCAGUGCUCUUAACCGCUGAACCAUCUCUCCAGCCUAAGAUAGUAUUGUUUUAAUUUCAUUUCACAGAUGGGGAAAUUGAGGCACCAAGAGGUAAAGGAAUUCCCUCAGGAGGUGGGGCUGGGAUUUGAACCUAUGCUGUGUAGUUUCCAUGUGCCCACCAGGGGAGAGUCAGGGAAGUUGACUUUUAAGCCUGGCUUCUGGUAUGUGUAUGUAAGCUCAGUACAUUGGAGUCUGAGGCUGCCCUGGGCUGAUAGCAAUAUCCUCACUCAAGACAGGAAAGCAGUUGACACUCCUGGCUAUGCUGGUGGCCAGUACCUGUCAUCCUAGACAUUUGGAACACUGAGGCAGGAGGUGGGCAUGAACCUAGGACUUGGAGGUCAGCCUGGGAAACUUACAUAGACUCUACAUCAAAAAAUAAGGCAAAACAAAAAUAAAAAGUUAAUACUAAA